rnacentral:misc_RNA from 1 species
UCCGAGUUGACCCCGGCAGUCUCCCAUGAGUCCCCGGCACUACCCGCUGGCAACAUGGGACGAGGGUUGCGCUCGUUGCGGGACUUAACCCAACAUCUCACGACACGAGCUGACGACAACCAUGCACCACCUGUACACCGACCUUGCGGGGAGCACAUCUCUGCACUUUUCCGGUGUAUGUCAAGCCUUGGUAAGGUUCUUCGCGUUGCAUCGAAUUAAUCCGCAUGCUCCGCCGCUUGUGCGGGCCCCCGUCAAUUUCUUUGAGUUUUAGCCUUGCGGCCGUACUCCCCAGGCGGGGCACUUAAUGCGUUUGCUGCGGCACGGAACUCGUGGAAUGAGCCCCACACCUAGUGCCCAACGUUUACGGCAUGGACUAC